AAGAACCCCGGCGAGGGGAGUGAAAAAGAACCUGAAACCGUGUACGUACAAGCAGUGGGAGCACCCUUUGGGUGUGACUGCGUACCUUUUGUAUAAUGGGUCAGCGACUUAUAUUCUGUAGCAAGGUUAACCGAAUAGGGGAGCCGGAGGGAAACCGAGUCUUAAUUGGGCGUUAAGUUGCAGGGUAUAGACCCGAAACCCGGUGAUCUAGCCAUGGGCAGGUUGAAGGUUGGGUAACACUAACUGGAGGACCGAACCGACUAAUGUUGAAAAAUUAGCGGAUGACCUGUGGCUGGGGGUGAAAGGCCAAUCAAACCGGGAGAUAGCUGGUUCUCCCCGAAAGCUAUUUAGGUAGCGCCUCGUGAAUUCAUCUCCGGGGGUAGAGCACUGUUUCGGCUAGGGGGCCAUCCCGGCUUACCAACCCGAUGCAAACUGCGAAUACCGGAGAAUGUUAUCACGGGAGACACACGGCGGGUGCUAACGUCCGUCGUGAAGAGGGAAACAACCCAGACCGCCAGCUAAGGUCCCAAAGUCAUGGUUAAGUGGGAAACGAUGUGGGAAGGCCCAGACAGCCAGGAUGUUGGCUUAGAAGCAGCCAUCAUUUAAAGAAAGCGUAAUAGCUCACUGGUCGAGUCGGCCUGCGCGGAAGAUGUAACGGGGCUAAACCAUGCACCGAAGCUGCGGCAGCGACACUGUGUGUUGUUGGGUAGGGGAGCGUUCUGUAAGCCUGUGAAGGUGUGUCGUGAGGCAUGCUGGAGGUAUCAGAAGUGCGAAUGCUGACAUAAGUAACGAUAAAGCGGGUGAAAAGCCCGCUCGCCGGAAGACCAAGGGUUCCUGUCCAACGUUAAUCGGGGCAGGGUGAGUCGACCCCUAAGGCGAGGCCGAAAGGCGUAGUCGAUGGGAAACGGGUUAAUAUUCCCGUACUUGGUGUUACUGCGAAGGGGGGACGGAGAAGGCUAUGUUGGCCGGGCGACGGUUGUCCCGGUUUAAGCGUGUAGGUGUGUGUUCCAGGUAAAUCCGGUUCACUUUAACACUGAGGCGUGACGACGAGGCACUACGGUGCUGAAGCAACAAAUGCCCUGCUUCCAGGAAAAGCCUCUAAGCAUCAGGUAACAUCAAAUCGUACCCCAAACCGACACAGGUGGUCAGGUAGAGAAUACCAAGGCGCUUGAGAGAACUCGGGUGAAGGAACUAGGCAAAAUGGUGCCGUAACUUCGGGAGAAGGCACGCUGACACGUAGGUGAAGUGAUUUACUCAUGGAGCUGAAGUCAGUCGAAGAUACCAGCUGGCUGCAACUGUUUAUUAAAAACACAGCACUGUGCAAACACGAAAGUGGACGUAUACGGUGUGACGCCUGCCCGGUGCCGGAAGGUUAAUUGAUGGGGUCAGCGCAAGCGAAGCUCCUGAUCGAAGCCCCGGUAAACGGCGGCCGUAACUAUAACGGUCCUAAGGUAGCGAAAUUCCUUGUCGGGUAAGUUCCGACCUGCACGAAUGGCGUAAUGAUGGCCAGGCUGUCUCCACCCGAGACUCAGUGAAAUUGAACUCGCUGUGAAGAUGCAGUGUACCCGCGGCAAGACGGAAAGACCCCGUGAACCUUUACUAUAGCUUGACACUGAACAUUGAGCCUUGAUGUGUAGGAUAGGUGGGAGGCUUUGAAGUGUGGACGCCAGUCUGCAUGGAGCCGACCUUGAAAUACCACCCUUUAAUGUUUGAUGUUCUAACGUGGACCCGUUACCCGGGUUGCGGACAGUGUCUGGUGGGUAGUUUGACUGGGGCGGUCUCCUCCUAAAGAGUAACGGAGGAGCACGAAGGUUGGCUAAUCCUGGUCGGACAUCAGGAGGUUAGUGCAAUGGCAUAAGCCAGCUUGACUGCGAGCGUGACGGCGCGAGCAGGUGCGAAAGCAGGUCAUAGUGAUCCGGUGGUUCUGAAUGGAAGGGCCAUCGCUCAACGGAUAAAAGGUACUCCGGGGAUAACAGGCUGAUACCGCCCAAGAGUUCAUAUCGACGGCGGUGUUUGGCACCUCGAUGUCGGCUCAUCACAUCCUGGGGCUGAAGUAGGUCCCAAGGGUAUGGCUGUUCGCCAUUUAAAGUGGUACGCGAGCUGGGUUUAGAACGUCGUGAGACAGUUCGGUCCCUAUCUGCCGUGGGCGCUGGAGAACUGAGGGGGGCUGCUCCUAGUACGAGAGGACCGGAGUGGACGCAUCACUGGUGUUCGGGUUGUCAUGCCAAUGGCACUGCCCGGUAGCUAAAUGCGGAAGAGAUAAGUGCUGAAAGCAUCUAAGCACGAAACUUGCCCCGAGAUGAGUUCUCCCUGAGACUUAAAGUCUCCUGAAGGAACGUUGAAGACGACGACGUUGAUAGGCCGGGUGUGUAAGCGCAGCGAUGCGUUGAGCUAACCGGUACUAAUGAACCGUGAGGCUUAACCUUACAACGCCGAAG
rnacentral:rRNA from 1 species